GCACCACAAGAGGUGGGACCUGCGGUUCAAUUGGAUUCAACGCCGGAAAACUCACCAGGGGCGACAGUUGGAUGAAAGCCAGGUUGACGACCUUGCCCGACUAGCUGAGAGGUGGUGCAUGGCCAUCGUCAGCUCGUACCGUGAGGCGUCCUGUCAAGUCAGGCAACGAGCGAGAUCCUCGCCCUUAGUUGCCAUCGGUGGAAAAGCCGGGCACUCUAGGGGGACCGCUGGCGCUAAGUCAGAGGAAGGAGAGGGCGACGGUAGGUCAGUAUGCCCCGAAUCCCCUGGGCUACACGCGGGUCACAAUGCGCAGGACAAUGAGAUGCAACCCCGUGAGGGGAAGCCAAACCCAUAAACCUGCGCUCGGUUCGGAUCGAGGGCUGUAACUCGCCCUCGUGAAGCUGGAAUCUCUAGUAAUCGCGUGCCAACACCGCGCGGUGAAUGCGUCCCUGCUCCUUGCACACACCGCCCGUCAAGCCGCUCGAGUGGGGUUUGGAUGGGGUCAGCUCAAGUUGGGUUGCUCGAAUCCGAGUUCUGCAAGAGGGGCU
rnacentral:rRNA from 1 species